rnacentral:tRNA from 1 species
GGGCCUAUAGCUCAAUUGGUUAGAGCUUCCGGCUCAUAACCGGGAGGUUCCAGGUUCAAGUCCUGGUGGGCCCACCA